GGCUGGUCCGAUGGCAGUGGGUUAUCAGAACUUAUUAACAUUAGUUUCACUAAAGUUGGUAUACCACCCCCCCCACUGCUAAAUUUGACUGGCUUAAA
ensembl:misc_RNA Y_RNA Y RNA